AGUCUAAAACCAACUUGAACCAAUCCAAACCAAAUAAAAAUAGAGCAAACCAAUUCAAAUCUAAAAGUUUUGUUGAAAUCGAACCGGAAUUACUUAAGACCUGAGGAAGAACCGAAUCGGACCAAAAACCCCUCUCCCCCUUCUCCUUUUUUGCGAAGCUCCGAUCGCAGCACCCUACGCCCCUCCCCCAUUUCCAGACUGAUCAAUGGCCAAAGAAUGCCGUUUGCGCCACCUGAGCCUCACCCUCGGUCCUCCUUGAUACAAUAGCUAGGCCACCCUUUGGCCUGUUUCCCUCACAACAGAAAGAGAGAAAGAGAGAGGGAGUGUGUGACAAUCCUUCUCCGGCUACUCCAAGCCGCUCCAACGACUUCCCUUAAUCAGGUGGAGUAGUCCAGUUUGAGGGGAGACUCUGCCAGAUUUCCAACAGAAUCUCCAUAACUCUAGACUAAGUUAUGAUGAUAAUUAAGUAGUUUAGUUUGGGUUCUGGUGGCAGCUUCUCAUUUACUUUUGUUAUGAUCUUCGGUUGUCUUGGUCCCUAUUUAGCCCCUCCGGAUCAGAGUCAAGGAUACAUUGCUUUCUUUUAAUAUCAUAGUGAGUAAUAAUAAAUAGUGCAUAUCAUCAUUUGCAUACAUAUAUUAUUUACUUUAUAAAGAAAUAUUUAUAUAAAA